rnacentral:tRNA from 1 species
UUAUUGUUUUUUUUUUAUUUCCCGACUUAGUAUAAAAAUAUACCUAUCGAAUCUUAGUAAUAAAGGACAGUGAAAGAAAUGAAG